rfam:Mesocricetus auratus contig022417, whole genome shotgun sequence.
GUCUACAGCCAUAUCACCCUGAAUGCACACAAUCUCCUCUGAUCUAGGAAGCUAAACAGGGUUAGGCCUGGUUAGUAUUUGGAUGGGAGACCAAUUUAGGGGCUAAUCAUGUGUUGGUUAAU